GGCCCCGUAGCUCAGCUGGAUAGAGCGUUUGCCUCCUAAGCGAAAGGUCAGCAGUUCGAAUCUGCUCGGGGCCACCA
rnacentral:tRNA from 1 species